rnacentral:lncRNA from 1 species
UCGUCAUGGUCAUUCGAUAAAGCCAGGCAGCCAAUGAGGAGCAGCUACCUUUGGAUUGGGCGAGAGGCCAGUGAAGGGGGAACCCAUCUUAGCAACAGCAGAAAAUAUCGCACAUGCCCUUGCACACAGGCACAAACACAGACACCGCGCCACCCGCCCUGCUGCAGUGAACGGUUGCUGAUUACGUCUCCUAAGGCUUUUGUUUUGCCACAGCCCCACUUCCAAAGGACAAGUUUCUGUUCACAGAUCACACUGCUUACCUGGUCAGACAGCCCAUAAUCCCUUUUUAAUGGAAUGCAGGGGCAACGGUCCUCUCUCUGCCCUCUCCAACACACAUGUUAUUAACGGCAAACUUUGAUCUGCAAGUUAUCUGAACCAGAAUGAGGAGCUAACUUAGCAAAGACCAGCAGCAAAGUUCACCUAACAUUUGGCAGUCUAUUUACUCCUAGAAGUCUCUUGAUUCCCCUGGUUCCAGU